rnacentral:rRNA from 1 species
GCCGCCCGCUUUCUUCUUUCUUAACACAUGCAAGUCGAGCGGUAAGGCCUUUCGGGGUACACGAGCGGCGAACGGGUGAGUAACACGUGGGUGAUCUGCCCUGCACUUCGGGAUAAGCCUGGGAAACUGGGUCUAAUACCGGAUAUGACCUCCUAUCGCAUGGUGGGUGGUGGAAAGAUUUAUCGGUGCAGGAUGGGCCCGCGGCCUAUCAGCUUGUUGGUGGGGUAAUGGCCUACCAAGGCGACGACGGGUAGCCGACCUGAGAGGGUGACCGGCCACACUGGGACUGAGACACGGCCCAGACUCCUACGGGAGGCAGCAGUGGGGAAUAUUGCACAAUGGGCGAAAGCCUGAUGCAGCGACGCCGCGUGAGGGAUGACGGCCUUCGGGUUGUAAACCUCUUUCAGCAGGGACGAAGCGCAAGUGACGGUACCUGCAGAAGAAGCACCGGCUAACUACGUG